UACGUAGGGUGCAGGCGUUAUCCGGAUUCACUGGGUUUAAAGGGUGCGUAGGUGGGAAUGUAAGUCAGUGGUGAAAUCUCCGUGCUUAACAUGGAAACUGCCAUUGAUACUAUGUUUCUUGAAUUUUUCUGGAGGUCAGCGGAAUAUGUCAUGUAGCGGUGAAAUGACUUAGAUAUGACAUAGAACACCAAUUGCGAAAGGCAGCUGGCUACGAGGGAAUGGAUUUAUCCAACCUGGAAGGGGCCACGAAAA
rnacentral:rRNA from 1 species